rnacentral:tRNA from 1 species
GGGAGGACGGCCUUGUGGUUAAGGCGCUGGCCUAGGGGCCAGGUGCUCUGGGUUCUAGUCCCAGUGCUGCUG